rnacentral:lncRNA from 1 species
UACUCCAGAGAAGACAGCAGCUCCCUAUAUCAAACCCUAACUAGCUCAAAAUUGACAAAUUGAAAGGGGAAAUCUAACCCAAAUCGAAAUCCAAGUACAAAUUCGUGAUCACCUCGGUGAAGGGAUCAUAAGUUUGACACUUAACGAGCAAGGUGGAGGGUUGGGAAGAAAGGGUCAAACGAAUCAAGAAGGAAAAGAAAAGCGUAGCUCGGAUACGAGGUAAAGAUGCUCUUUAGACCCCGGAGGAUGAUCAAGCCAUGUCAAGAACCGAACACACCGAACAAAGCUUCCGUAUUUUGUCUAUUUUUUUAUCUAGCAUGA